rnacentral:rRNA from 1 species
UGGCGGACGGGGGAGUAAUGUCUGGGAAACUGCCUGAUGGAGGGGGAUAACUACUGGAAACGGUAGCUAAUACCGCAUAACGUCGCAAGACCAAAGAGGGGGACCUUCGGGCCUCUUGCCAUCGGAUGUGCCCAGAUGGGAUUAGCUAGUAGGUGGGGUAAAGGCUCACCUAGGCGACGAUCCCUAGCUGGUCUGAGAGGAUGACCAGCCACACUGGAACUGGGACACGGUCCAG